rnacentral:hammerhead_ribozyme from 1 species
CGGCGAAACCCGCGCGAGCGGGUCUACCGGGCCAGGGCCCCCGGUACUGACGAGCCAGCCCACG